CCUACGGGAGGCAGCAGUGAGGAAUAUUGGUCAAUGGGCGAGAGCCUGAACCAGCCAAGUCGCGUGAAGGAUGAAGGAUCUAUGGUUUGUAAAUUUCUUUUAUAUGGGAAUAAAGUGAGGAACGUGUUCCUUUUUGUAUGUACCAUAUGAAUAAGCAUCGGAUAACUCCGUGCCAGCAGCCGCGGUAAUACGGAGGAUGCGAGCGUUAUCCGGAUUUAUUGGGGUUAAAGGGUGCGUAGGUGGUUAAUUAAGUCAGCGGUGAAAGUUUGUGGCUCAACCAUAAAAUUGCCGUUGAAACUGGUUGACUUGAGUAUAUUUGAGGUAGGCGGAAUGCGUGGUGUAGCGGUGAAAUGCAUAGAGAUCACGAAGAACUCCGAUUGCGAAGGCAGCUUACUAAACUAUAACUGACACUGAGGCACGAAAGCGUGGGGAGCAAACAGGAUUAGAUACCCGUGUAGUC
rnacentral:rRNA from 1 species